UACGGAGGGUGCGAGCGUUGUCCGGAAUCAUUGGGCGUAAAGGGCGCGUAGGUGGCGGCUUAAGCGUGCGGUGAAAGCUCGGGGCUCAACCCCGAGUCGGCCGUGCGAACUGAGUCGCUUGAGCACUGUAGAGGCAGGCGGAAUUCCGGGUGUAGCGGUGGAAUGCGCAGAUAUCAGGAGGAACACCAGUGGCGAAGGCGGUUCUCUGGGCCUUACCUGACGCUGAGGAGCGAAAGCGUGGGGAGCAAACAGG
rnacentral:rRNA from 1 species